rnacentral:rRNA from 1 species
CAGUAGCCGCGGUAAUACGAAGGGUGCAAGCGUUACUCGGAAUUACUGGGCGUAAAGCGUGCGUAGGCGGCUUUUUAAGUCGGAUGUGAAAUCCCUGAGCUUAACUUAGGAAUUGCAUUCGAUACUGGGAAGCUAGAGUAUGGGAGAGGAUGGUAGAAUUCCAGGUGUAGCGGUGAAAUGCGUAGAGAUCUGGAGGAAUACCGAUGGCGAAGGCAGCCAUCUGGCCUAAUACUGACGCUGAGGUACGAAAGCAUGGGGAGCAAACAGGAUUAGAUACCCGUGUAGUCCCUGUCUCUUAUAC